rnacentral:lncRNA from 1 species
CACUAUACCCAAACUGACAAACACCCAAGAUCCAAGAUCUAAAUCACCUAAUUACUACCUUCUGAAUACAACCGCUUGAGCUAAUCUCAAGUUGUUCAACUUCAAUUUACAAACAAUUUUUUUUUAAUUCUGAUUCUUUGCAAUUUUCUUAGGAAAAAUCUUAAAUUUGAUACAAUAAAUAGUUGUAAAUAAAUAAAUUUAUAAUUAAUUCUCAAUUCCCAAAAAAUCGUUGUAAGAGGUUGUCCAUCUUGUCUCUAAAGUAAUCUAAUUUGAUCCAAUGUCUGACCAUCUAAAUGUAAUAUUAAGACUUGACUCCAUUGGUGUGAAAUAUUUUUCCAUGAGGAUGGCUAAUAUGAAAUUCCCCUGCUACUAUUGAGGAUCCCAUUCGGGGUAAUGAUGCAAAAGGAUUAGAUGUUGGAUAGUAUAUAAUUAUGAAGCUACACGAAAUAUGUAACCAAACAGGAUAAGUAGAGCUAAAUGAAUUAAGCUGAUGAAGAUUUGUUUUAGUGAAUUUUUCCCCAUAAGUACGGCUUAAGUUGAGCAAGAUUUAUUUUAGUGAAUUUUUUUUUGUAUGUAUGACUGUCAGUGAUAAGUAGGGUUAUAAACGAAUUUAUUUUAGUGAACCUUUUUCAUGUUUAAGUUAGGGUUUUAUUGAUGGAAGAUUAAGAAGAAGAAGGUGGGUGUACUAAGAGUCCUUGGGACGUACUCUAAGGUUUUAAAUGAGAGUAAAUGGUGAUAUUUAAGCAUUAUACAUUGCUGAUUUGAUAUUUUCUUCCAAGUUGCUGGUGAAAUUAGAUUUUCCUAGGUUAAAAGUAGUUAAGCAACACACGCAUGUCCAAUCAACUGCACAUACAUGUCUAAUCAGCUUAAAAGCAUAAAACUUCUAACAAAAAUUUUAGAAAAUUCAUUAAAAGUAAUAGGACACCAAAAUCAAGGCAAAACUAAGUCCAAAAGUUAAGUUACAGUUGUGAAACGUAAAAUACACUCUAAAACAUAUAUUAUAGGGCCAUGCUAACCGCAACCGACUCAUUUGUGAAUGGUGAUUAAAGGUGAACCAAGGGGGUUAAAAGAAAUUAAAGUUCAAUUACUGCGUUUACAACAUUUGAGUGCACUUACAAAAUUUAUGUACUUUUUCAUUUAUUUCUAUAUAUUUGACUGUGUUUCCUCUGGGCUGAUGCUAAUUAUUUAGUCAUAUUAAAAGUUAUUUUGUCGUUAAUUAGUCAAUUUUUAAGUCCAGGAAUAAAUUGUAAAAAUGAAUAUAAUAUUUCAAUUUGUCAGUAUUAAGUUUUCAUAUUAUCCCACUAUACCUUAAAUGCCCUUAGCUCAAAUGAACUAACCCAAAUUUUGGUGGAGGGUUGUUCCUCUCUUCCAAAGACUUGUAACUCAAGGAAAUCUCAAGCAGAGCCUAAAGACGUAGGACCUUUAUCAUGCUUCCUGGCUGACUGAAAGGUAAUUUUAUAUUUAUUUGGUUGGUUUUUGUUUCCUCCCAACCACCCCCCCCACAUAUAUAUCCUAGUAAUUACCUGUGUUUACACACGGGCACUACAAAAAAAAAAAUAAUUUUUUUUUAUCCAAUUUUGAUGAUUCUUCUAGAAGAAUAAAAAUAAAAAUAAAUAAAUAAAAAACAAUAACAAAAAGGUAGCUCUCAGUAAGUAACUUUCUCAGAAAAAACAACUAAUCUUAAACUAACUAAUCUAAUAUAAAACACAUAAGAGAACUUGUAUUUUCCACCCCUGAACAUCCCAAACCCCUCGAUUGUGACUUUUUUGGGACUUUUAAUUUGUACCUUCAAUCUCCUCAAAUUACAAUUGUGACAUUUCAACCAUUUUAUUUUUUAAUACCCUUUAUUUUUUUUAUUUUACUUUUAUACAUGAAUUUUUAUUACAAAAAAAAUUAUGAUUAAACUUUAUAACUUCUUUAUUUUUUUUCUUUUAAUACCCCAGUGAUUUUUGUUUUUUCUUUUACUUCAUUUUUAAAUUUUUAUAACCCUUUAGUUUAUAAUUUUUUUUACUCUCACCUUAUGUGUUUUUUAUAAUAAAAAAAACUAUGGAUUAAAAAUAAAAUUUUUAUAUAUUUUUAAAAAUUUGAUGGGGUUGAUAGUUAUAUGUUUUUGUUAUUUGAGGACUAUCUAGAAAAUUAAUAAGGUAUUUUUAGUAGUUUGAUUUACAUAAAAACACAUUAGAAAAUUAAUAAUUUUUAAGUAUCAAUACAGUAAGUAGUAAAUUCAAACAUUGCAUUAAAUUCAGAACAUAAUUUUCAUUAAUAUCUCAUUCCAAAAGAAAAUAAUUUUUUUAUAAUUUUUUUUAUAUAAAAAUUCAGAAUGAAAGUAAAAAAAUAAAGUAAAAGAAAUAAGGGGUAUUUAAUAGAAAAAGGAAAAAUAAAGGGGUUAUAAAAUUUUAUAUAAAAAAUUCGAAAGUGAAAAUAAAAAAAAUAAAAUAAAGGGAUAUUACAAAAAGUAUUAAAAUCAUUGAAUAUGAAAGUGAUUCGGAGGAGAGAGGGGAGAAGAGAGAGUGAGAGUUAUGAUGGAGAGAGAAGGAAAAGUGAUGGGCUGAGAGCGCGUGUGAAGUAAUAUGUUUGGGCGGGGAAAAAAAAUACAUUUGAGGUUGAAAUGUAAGCGUUAGAUCAACUCAAAUUGAUUGCAGCCGCGUAGAUUAGCGAGGAGAUAGAUUUGGAUUCAAACGUAGUUUGUGGAUUUGUAUUUUAUACUAGUAUUGCCCGUGCCACGGGGCACUAUGCAAAAAAAAAUUAAAAAUCUCUUUUUAUCAAUUUUGAUGAUUGUUCAUCACAGAAGACACCAAAAUAAAAAUAAAAAGAAAAGAAAAUAAAAAACAAGCACAAAUAAGGUAAGGGGCAGGAACUUCGCAGAACACUUUAAAAAAAGUAAGUCUAAACUAAUUAAUAUAAUCUAAAACUAAAUAUAAGAAAGCUUUAUUGUUUUUUUGUGUGUUGUUUCCUUAUCCUGUAUCUCACCCCAUCGAUGUGACAUUUUUUUUUUGUACUUUUAAUUUUUACCUAAAUUCUUUCUCAAAUUAUUAAUGUGCCAUUAAACCAUUUUAUUAUUUUUUUAAUACCCUUUAUUUUUUUUUAAUACCAUUUUAUUUCUUUUUUUUUUUUACUUUCACUUCUUCAUUUUAUAUAUAAAAAUUAUGAUUAAAUUUUUGAAUCCUUUAUUUUUUUUCUUUUAAGAACCCCUUAUUCUUGUUUUUUUUUUUUUUACUUUCACUUCUAAUUUUAUUAAAAAAAUUAUAAUAAAAUUUUAUAAUUUUUUUACUCCCACCUUAUGUUUUUUAUAAAAGAAAAAAAAUAUGGAUCAAAAUUUUUAAUACUUUUUAAAACAAUUGAUAGUUGAUAGUUAUCUGUUAUUUGUUUUUGAGACUAGCCUUGAAAGUAAAAUGUUUUUUUUAGUUUUUUAGUAGUUUGAUUUAUUAUAAAAUAUAUAAGAAAAAUAUAACUUUAACGUUUCAGUAUUAAAUUCAAUAUUACCACAAUAAGAAUAUAUUUCUCAUUAAUAUCUCCUCCCAAAAGAAAAUUAUAAUUUUUUUUUUAAAUUUUUUUUAAUAUAAAAUUCAAAAGAAAAUAAAAAAAAUAAAAGAAUUAUGGGUAUUAAAAGAAUAAGAAAUAAGGGUUAUAAAAUUUUAAUAAAAAAAUAUAUAAAAAAAUUUAAAAGUGAAAGUAAAAGAAUAAAGAGAUAUUAAAAAAUAUAAAGGGGUUGAAUUGAAAGUGAUGGGAAGAGAGAGAAGAGAGUUAUGAUGGAGAGAGCAGUGAAAGUGAUGGGAGGAAAGAGAGUGAAAGUGUAUUUUGGGCGAGAAAAAAUAAUUGAGGUAAAACUUGAGCCGUUAGAUCAACUCAAAUUGUGUUUCGCCGUAGAUAACGAGAGAUAAUUUUGAUUCAAACGUAGUUGUGAUUUGUAUUCUAUAUAUAAUAUAUAAUAUAUAUAUAUAUAUUAUAUUAUGUUUAGUUGCAUAUAUUUUAAAUUAUAAUUAUAUUUUUUAUGUCUAUGAGUGUUGCAUCUUAAAUCUCCUAUUAAUAAUAGGCUAAUAGCUUUCCUAAGUGUUAUCUCCAAAUCUAACUUAUGAGGAGUUGGUUUUUAAAGAUAAAAUUUUCAUGGAUCAAGUCCUCUUUAACAAAUUUUCUUUUUCACUUGUCCAAAGCUUAAAGUAAUCACGAUGCUUUCUAUUUUAGAAUUAGUCAAUAAUAUUAUACUAUGGAUAUUCUCAAUGACGAAAAGGAUCCACGGAACUUUAGAAUAAUUGGAUAAGGUAACUGGAUGCGGUGAAAAUCUCACAACAAAGAAUAGUAAUUCUUUGAUCCAAACUCUAUCUAUACCUUAAUUCCCCAAUCAACAUAUUCAUUGAACAACUCUUACGAUAACACUAUUCCAAAGUAAAAUAUAUGUAUAGAGAAAAUCUCACACGCAAAGUCUCUAUUGGCAAUCACUAUAUCCUUCAAGAAGAAGUAUUCUAUGAUAUUUUUUUUUGUAAAUACCAUAAUGUUUGGAACCAAAUUAAUAUUAUGAUUACCAUGAAAAUCAAUGAUAGUUAGUCUACUUGCUAGUAAACCUCCUAAAUACUCAAUUUUUAGAUCCGCCGUAAAACCGCCAUUCACAUUUCUCAAAACAAUGGCGACUGGUGAAAGAACUAUUUCUUUAGUAGUUUUAUUAAUUUUUUAGUCUCAUUUUAUCACAUGCAAUUUAGAGCCAAAAUUAGCAAUUUCAUCCACAAUAGGCUACUAAUCACCACUCGUAUAGGCACAUUGAGUAAAAACUGUAUCAUUUUGAAUACCCUUAAUUUUUAAAAUAUAUGCAUAGGUUUAUAAUGAUAUGAUUAAUCCACUAUUUGUAUCCCCUAGCUUAUAGCAUUGAUACCCAACCUGUUUAAUUUGCACACCAGCUAAUCUAAUGCCCGCAACUCAUCCACUAUCCACAAUUAGCCCACAACUAGAAAAAACCCUGAAUCAAAUAACGAUAAACCCAAUUAAAUAUUAUAAUUUUUAGAGGCUUG